rnacentral:lncRNA from 1 species
ACGCAUUCUUGGCAUCAACCUUCUUCUUAUGCUCCUCAUCCUCAGCCUUGUACUUCUCCGCUUCUUGCACCAUCUUCUCAAUCUCCUCCUUGGACAGCCUCCCUUUAUCGUUAGUGAUGGUAAUCUUGUUCUUCUGCCCAGUAGUCUUGUCUUCCGCUGAGACGUUGAGGAUGCCGUUAGCAUCGAUGUCGAAACAGACUGUGAUCUGAGGAACACCUCUUGGUGCAGGAGGGAUGCCGCUGAGCUCAAACUUCCCUAAAAGAUUGUUGUCUUUGGUCCUAGCUCUCUCUCCUUCGUAGACUUGGAUCAAAACUCCAGGCUGG